rnacentral:rRNA from 1 species
CACGUAGGGUGCGAGCGUUGUCCGGAAUUAUUGGGCGUAAAGAGCUCGUAGGCGGUGUGUCGCGUCGGCCGUGAAACCUGCAGCUUAACUGUGGGCUUGCGGUCGAUACGGGCAUCACCGGAGUUCGGCAGGGGAGACUGGAAUUCCUGGUGUAGCGGUGAAAUGCGCAGAUAUCAGGAGGAACACCGGUGGCGAAGGCGGGUCUCUGGGCCGAUACUGACGCUGAGGAGCGAAAGCGUGGGGAGCAAACAGG